UUCACCAUCUUGGCCAGGCUGGUCUUGAACUCCUGACCUCGUGAUCCACCCGCCUCGGCCUCUCUCAGGAUCCUUCUACGCAGCAUCAGGCACACAGCGUUUGUCACACACUGCCCCUCCUAGUCUGCUUGGUUGUCUACACUCUCCUCCUUUCCUAGAUGCAAAGCCCCCAGAUUUUAGCACAUGUUCCAUAGAUAUAUCCAAGAGUAAAUAAAGCAGGGCAGGGUUUUUAUACCUGAUUAGUGGGAAAGAUGAGAAAAUGUUUCAGACAUAAAUUUGAGAUGAUAUUACAUGUGUUGGAGACUAUAAAUUUUUCAAGAAAAUCUUGAAUACUGAUAUAUUUUCAUGUAUAACAUUAAAAUUUUCACUUUGCUGAUUUAUAGUGGCUGAGGCUCAGAAAGCUGUUUGAGUUAUUUGUCUACAUGUCUUACCACCGUCAUCCCAAAUCAGUAACAGCUGUGUGUUAUGUGUUCAAAGUGUGAACUUAAAAUGAUUCGUCUGCUUUGGGGAUGGGGAUGUUUCUGUCUAAACUAAAGGGAUCUGACAAAUUCAUAUUCGUUAAAGUUCAAUAGUGAAGCUUAAAGGCCACCUCUCCCAGAGAGACUGGCGGUGCAACAGAAGGAAAUGCCUUAAAAAAGCAAGACUAAAACUGUAAUUAUGGCAUUUCAGGCAUCAGAGAAAGUCAGAGAUGGUUUAGGGACGGUGUGAGAGAGGCUCCCAAUAGCCUACAAACCAUAGCUUUUCUGAGAGAUGGAUUAUGUCCUUGGAUCUUGGAGUAUAAAAUUACAGCCCUCACAAGAAAAAUAUAGAUAAGUAUCAGUUAGGGAAGAUGGUCAUUUUAGUGAGGGCCCUGUACUAGAUCAUGAGGAUACAAAUCUCAAAAAUGAUGCAUCCUUGCUCUCAGAGAGCUGACAGUCCAGCUAGAGAGGCAAACUUAAAAACAGGAUGGCUCCAUAAUUUGUGGGAUCCAGUUCAAAAUGAAAAUAGGGGACCUCUUAUUCAUAAAUUAUUCAACAUUUCAAAAGAGUGACUGCAGAGCAUUAAACUAAGCACAGGGCCCUUCUAAGGACCGGGACCUUGAGAAUGCAUGUCGCAUGCCCUGAUUCACCAUCAUUAUAAUAACACAGGACAAUGUGCACUGGAGACAUGCACGGGAUGCUGGGAGAACAAGGAGGGAGGGGCUAAAUCUGAGGGAUGGGGAACACUUCACUGAGGAAGUAACAUCCUAACAUCAGGGCUAAACCUUGAAGGGUGGACCAACUUUUGCUAAACAGGGACAAUUGGAGAUCCCGGGGGUCUCCAGGGAGGGGGAACUAAGAGGAAAGCCACCUUCUCCUGCUGCAGCUGUCUCCACUCCAAGCUGAUCACACAGAUCUUGUGUGUUAUAAUUAACUCCCUGGUUAGUGCUCGUCAGUUACUUGGGUAACUUUUAAAAUAAUAUGGUCCCACUUGUUUCUUGUUUGUGGAGAAUCUCAAUCAAUCCUCAAAUUGUAAGUUGGCUCUCAAACCUCUCUUUCCACCUCUCAUGUCCCCCAGGGCUCUCCAAAGAAACUUUCCAGAUGAAGAGAAAUGCUCCAUGUCUGUGCUGUGCAAGAUGGGAGCUUCUGGACACCAGUGGCUACUGAGCACUCGAACUGUGGCUGGUGCAACCAAGGAACCGAAAUUUUUUUUACUUAAUUUUUAUUUUACUUAAUUUUUUUUACUUAAUUUUUAUUUUACUUUAUUCUAAUUAGCUAAAGCUUAAUUUUUAGUAGCUAGUGGCUGCCAUCAGAGUCCAGCAUACUUUAACAUUUAUAUUGUCUUAAUCUUUUCUCUUUUUUUUUCUUUAAAAUAUACACAGAGACAGUGUCUCCCUUUGUUGCCCAUUCUUGGCUUGAACUCCUGGGCUAAAGCAGUCCUCUUGCCUCAGCCUCCCAAAGAUGGGAUUACGGGUGCGAGCCACCACACUCUGCCACUUACAGUAUCUUCUUGUUUUACAUGUUUUCUCCAGAUCUUGAUCCUCAAAAUUGAAAAUCAGUUGUGAGUAUUGCAUUAUUAUGCCUGUAAAAAUUAUCCUUAACUUCACAAGCCGAACAGUAUAGAGUAAUUCCAUUCUGUUCCUUUACUGCUUUUAUUGUUAUUUCUUGAUGUUUUCUAAUUGUUUUUCUAUUUUUCUUUCUUUGGCUGCGCUGCCCAUAUUGGUUACUCCAUAAUUUCAGGGGUGGUAUCACGCUCUGUGAUUCCAUUUUCCCCUGAAUACUUUGCUUUUGGAAACUUUUCCUCUCUUACCGAGCUCCAUGCUGAUGUUUGCUGUGUGGUUCAGCUGCCUGAUUCCCAUCCAAGGAUUUCCCUUUGCAACGCUCCCAGGUUGAGUCUUCUGUUUCCCGGAUUCCACCACUUCCAUUUUUUAGUUUACUCCCUUAUUUUGCUGGGGUCCAUCAUCAAGUAACUUCCUAAGAAGGGAUCAGCAACCUACUUUCCACGGGCCGCUUUUGGCUUGCUGCCUAUUUUUGCACAGCUGAGAGUACACCAUCCUGAUCUGAGCAUGAGAAAAGAAGUUCCCUGAGGGCAGGACUUUAUUUGGUUCACUGCUGCGUCCUCACUGCCUAGACACAGUGCUCAAAAAUAUUUGCUGAAUGCUAUGGCUAGGCUUUGUGUCCCCACCCAAACCUCGUCUUGAAUUGUA
rnacentral:lncRNA from 1 species